rnacentral:tRNA from 2 species
GCUGGGGUUGCCGAGCCUGGAAAGGCGCUGGCCUUGAGAGCCAGUGGCAUUUGCCACGCGGGUUCGAAUCCCGCCCCCAGCA